rnacentral:piRNA from 1 species
UGUCCCAAACGAGUUUGUGCCUCACUUUGA